rfam:Lentinula edodes NBRC 111202 DNA, contig: scaffold12.
GCUCCUGUAGCUCAGCUGGUUAGAGCAUUGUACUUAUAUGGGUGUCUAUUUUCCCCAAGCAUUUUAUGCAAGGGUCACCAGUUCAAUCCUGGUCAGGAGCA